rnacentral:lncRNA from 1 species
GAGAGUUGUGAGUCUAUAUAGGGCCAUAGACUAGGUACGUGUAUCUAUUGGCAUGCAAGUGGCAAUAUGUUGUUGUUUUAGAGUGCUUACUCGCUAGCCUAGGGGAAUUUCAAUUAUUUGUCUAUAUACUCUCUUCAAUGCUUCAAUCUAUCAUUCCAAAUACUCCAAUGAGAUAACCACAGGUGGAUUUGAAAUGCAAGAGUAGACGUAAGUGAAGAUCUUUAACAUCCAGCAGCACAGCUUCUUCGAUCAGAUUUACUCUCUAUAAAUGAAGGAGAAGAAUGAAUUUAAGAUAGAGGAACAACAACACCACCACACGAGCAAGAAGAAUGUCUUCUUUCUCAGACCACUCCCUCCUUCACUAUCCAUUUCUUUCAUAUUAUGUCAAGGCUUGAACCCAUUUCCAUUGUAUUUUGUAAAUCUUUCAUACAUAGUGAAAUACAAAUAUACAAAUAUAUAUACAUAUGUAGUGGACGUAGCCGAAUUGGCGAACCACUUAAAUUCGGUGCAUGACUUUGUUAUUACAAGAUCUUACUCUCUUCUUCUUUACUCUCCAAGUAAGAGCUAUGAAAACACAUCACCAAUCAAUCAAAAAUUAGUUGGGCAAGUCGAAUUAACGUGACUACAAAUGAAUGGAAGAAAUCAUCAACUCAACCUCACCUCUCAUGCAACAACUGGUAUGCUUGGCCAGUCACUCACCACUGGCAGCCACGACGAAUGAGACGAUGGAUGAUGCCGUGGCUAUGCUAUCAUGAGAACGACUCCAUGUGCCUCAUCCAUUCCUGUCAAUUAUCACCACCUUGGUUAUGAAAUUUUGACAGACUGAGACGAUGAGAAGGAGAUGAGGUGUUUAGAGAGAGAGAGAGAGAGAGAGAGAGAGAGAGAGAGAGAGAGAGAGAUGAGGAGAAGGAAGAAGGGGGUCAGGUUAUAUCAAAGAAAGGAGAUGGAAAUUUCAAAGAAAAGGUUAGGCUAGCGUGUAGUGGUUCUCGAGGGAAUGAAAAAGAGAAGCAAAAGAUGAUAAAAAGACAUUAAAGGGUAGAGUGUUGGGUGGAAGGAAGAGGAGAGUCGGGUGGAAGAAAAUGAGCAAGUUUGUGAGUGAGAAAAUAAGAGAAAUGAGAUGAGAAAAAGAGGAAGUGGUGGAUUGAAAAUAACAAAUAAAAGAUGAGGUAUGGAAGGGGAAAAGCCAGAAACAAGGUUUCAUGCCUUGUUGCUUUUGAGACAUUUAUUUCAUUUUCGAUUUUCUUCACUAACAUGGAUGUCUAAUUCUUGUCUAAAUAAUAACAGGUACCAGCUAGACAAAAGUAAACAAGACGACGGUAAUUCUAGAGUGGUAAAUGAUCAAUAUUUUAAAUGAUAGUAUCAAAUAUUAUUACAUUGGUUACUAAUUAGUUUGAUCUAUGCUAAUAUUUAUAUAUGGUGAGUAAGCGAUUAUUAAUUUUUAUGUAUACAUAUGCACUGCAAAGCAAGAAAAAGAGGUGUGUGUUUGGUCAAGUGCUCACUUUUGUUGAGUGUUUGUUUUGUGGAGAUAUUCAAGGGCUGGAGAAUGCCUUGAAUAUGAAAUAAUGAAAUCUUGUAUAUGGCAGGCAUCGGGAGAAGGACUUGAAUAUACAAUUGGACGUCGAGAAAAGUGCAUGUAUAAUAAAGUGGAAAAUGAGACUUUAAUUCUGAAAAUUGGGCUUAAGGGAGGAACGGGAAUUUAACUCAUAUUCUAAGGUAUUUGGAGCCAAGUGAUAUAAGCAUGGUAUGGGACGUGCAUGCUUGGGUGCCUUAGGUAUGUGUUAGCGGGAUUAGAAGGGAGUGAGUGCAUUCAUCCAUCUCAUUUGCAUAUAAUUCAUGUAUUUGAAAGAAUUGUUACAAUUUAAUUAUUAUUUAAUUGGUAGUUUUUGUUGUAAAUUAAUUUGUGCACUAUUCUUAUUCCACUGUGUAUUCUAUAAAUUUUAUGUAAGAUUUUGUUAUAUGAUGCACGGUGUAAUCGUUGUAAUUUAAUUUUAUUUUCCACCAUCUAUUAGUUGUAGGAUUUAUUUCUAUAGCUAAGAUAUGGCUCACAUCCUAACUCGGGAAUUGUCCUUAUUCGCAGGUCGGGGCGUGACACAUUUGGAUGACUAAACAAU